rnacentral:rRNA from 1 species
AUACGUAGGUUGCAAGCGUUGUCCGGAUUUACUGGGUGUAAAGGGUGCGUAGGCGGAUUGGCAAGUCAGAUGUGAAAUACCGCAGCUUAACUGCGGGGCUGCAUUUGAAACUGUCGAUCUUGAGUGCAGGAGAGGUAAGCGGAAUUCCCAGUGUAGCGGUGAAAUGCUUAGAUAUCACGAAGAACUCCGAUUGCGAAGGCAGCUUACUAAGCUACAACUGACACUGAAGCACGAAAGCGUGGGGAUC